rnacentral:lncRNA from 1 species
ACACACACACACCAAUGGUGGGAUCCCCGAUUUGUUUUCUUUGCUGUUGUUCUUCCAGCCGUGAGUACCACCAUGUGUCAGUAGAUCGAAUUGCUAGUUUGCUGCAACUUGAGAGUUGUACCGUUGGUAGCUGCGGGAGUGGUUUGGACAUGUUGUUGAUCUGAAGCAAGACCUGAUUCCUGCUCACUUAAUCUGCCCCUUUUUGUUUGAUAAUAUGGCGUAGUAUUACGAAGAUUACUAGUUGGAUCCGUAUACCACUGAGCAGCAAAAAGAUUAUACAUUGCUUUGUUUUAUUUUCUAAUUCGUUGCUCAGAUCGAUGGUUAGAUGGACAUGGUACUUUAGCUCCGGAAUUCUAAGCUUGCAAGUUUCUGAAUUCUAGGUCUGCACCGGUAUCAUGAGUUAAUCAGAUGCGUGUCACCAGCUAUAGUGAUGAUAUUGCCAUCAUUUUCCUGUACAGAGAGCAGUGCCUGCUACAAUCAAACUAUAGUUGCAUUAUUCUGUGCCAAUCAGUUUACAAAAAAAAAUUUGUCCUCUCAAACUAAUGUGUUGUCUUAUUUUCUCACUUUGGCUGGUACAGUGAUACCCAUCUAAUUGCAGUCGAGGGGAUAUGUGAUAACUUGAAACUGAGCACAGAACGUUCUUUCUUGGUUUGCAUUUGGUGUAACCCCCCUUGAUUGUUCUUUUUCCUCUGUCUUAUAAUCCUCUGAUUGUCAAUCCAGUCAUAUAUUGAUGAUGUAUUGAUCAUUGUUUAUCAGAAGUUUUCUACACAUUGCUGCUGGAUAGAGCAUCUAUUGCAACUACAAUUGGCGAUAUCUACACAGAUCUAUACAUAAAAGAUAAUAGGAAGUAAGCUUCUAUAGUGUGACGUAGAGGUAUUGGCCAUACACCAUGAAUGAUAGAGGUUGUGCAGCUGAUAUUCAUAGUUUAAUUACUUUUUCCUCCAAAGAGAUACAUAUUUUUAGCUAUAAUGUGUUACCUUGCUGACAGUACAUCGAUAUAUUCUCCAAUCUGGUUCAACUAUGCCUAUACUCUUUAGUUUUAUGUUGAUGUUUACACUCUCUUUCUUCUGGUCUGGAGUCUUGUAUUUUUUUUCUGAGGUGUGUACUUCACUUUUAUGUUGUAUACACAGGUAUUUUCAGAUAAAUAAAAGCAAGAACAUUAGAGAGCAUGCUGGGCCCUGAAUUUGGAGAAUCUAGGCGUAUAUCUGUACAAUAUUGUUGAGGUAAUUUUGAAUUUCUCAAGCUUGGUCUGGGCUUAUGGUGCUUAGUUUUUCAGUUGGUUUUGCCGAGCAACUGAAAUUUCCAACUACUUCUAUUAGCAUUAUUGCACCUGAUCAUGGCUGAUUCUGCACUAUUCCCCUUCCUUGAUCUAUUCGUGACACAUCUAAAUUCAUUUGUGGAUCCUUACUCUGUAGUACGGGGACCCUGAGGUCCUUGGAGCCACACACGUUGCCACAUGUUAAUUAUCUUAUCGAUUGGCGUUAGUAGGAGGUAUCGAAUAUAGAUGGACUAUCUUCGUUAUUGAAUUGGCGUUAGUAGGAGGUAUUGAAUGUAGAUGGGCUAUCUUGGUUUUUGAAUGCUAGGUUGUCGGGCACUUGGGAUGAUGAUGUAUGGCCAGGGGUAGGCAAGCUCCCAAACUUGCACGAGUACCCUGACUUUUUUUUUGAGAGUACCCUCACUGGAACUUCUCAAAACUGUCUACUGUAUUAGUCUUGACGCCAAUGGUCUUGAUCUGCUUGAGUUUAUAGUAAUCAAACAUGUGUAUCCGACUAUCCGUGCUACUUGAUCCUUGCAGAAAAACAGAGAAAAAGAGGGGCUCUUGUAAGAAUCUUGUACUAACUUACGGCUGUGAUCCUUGCCGAAAAUGCGGCAGUAAGGACAAGCCAACAAAGAGGAUCUCUGCAAUGAAAGGUCAUGGAGCACCCAUAUUUUCAAUGAUGUAGACUAAGGCGUUGUGUUGGAGCUGUCUUCGUGACUAGCAAGAAGUGGAUAUUGCAGUUUGUGUUUGUCCUGAAGCAUAUUUUGUGCUUCCAGGGCAGGCAUUUUUGCCUCUGUUUUUCUAGCUGCCAUUUAGUUUGCGCCAAUAACCUAAUAUUGCGAUGGAUAAUAUCUAUGGAGUUGUGCAUAAUAAUUCUGGAGUGCCACUUCUUUUUUGUAGCUAGCAUGUAGCCGAUUAAAUUCCAGCCUAGUUCAUAGCAGGUUUGAGUAGAUAUGUAACUCACUGUAGAAAGGUAUUCACGCUAAGAUGCCUGUUUAGAAUGGAAAAGAUGGCUAGUUUGUUGCAGGUUUGAGCAAACUAAUUGUAGCCUAUUAUCCCCAUUAGGGCUGUAAGCUGUAGGAAGAUGAGGACUUCAAUCUUAAUAAUGGCAAUCUGGUUCAAGAAUAAGACAGUACUUCAAUCUUAAUAAUGGUGGUACAUGGUGGUUUUAUGAGAUGUUCGUGUUCAUUCUCGUGAUGGCCUAAUAUUCCCUGAACAUCAUUUGUGCAUUUGAAAAGUUCAUCCAUUAAACUUACCAAGGAAAUAACUUGCAGUCCCUCAGCCUACUUUCUAAUUUGAUUUAUGGUAAGCCGAGUUAUCUAUAUUAUUAAACACAAUUUUCCUUUUCACAGGUUGGUUGAUACAUGUAUGCACAUUUUUCAGAGCAACGUGCAGUGGAAGAAGCAGCCUGUGAACUGAAAUAGUUUGCAUUGGAAACAAGUGCUAUGAGUAUGUUAUCAUUUGAUUACACAUAAUCUGUACAACCCCUGAAGUAUUUUCCAUAGUUCUCUUUGGAAUCCUUUUCUUUUUUGAUGAAACACAAGUGCCCCAAAACUGAUUUUCCUGUCAUUUAGCUAUAUUGAUCAGAUGAUAUUGAACUAGAAACACCAGUACAUAGACUAAGUAUCACACAUUAGAGUAAACCAAAUGGCAAGCAAGGAAAAUGUGUCACACAUGACACUUCAGUGUAUCUGAAAUUGUAAAACUUAUUUGUGAGCCAUGUUUGGCUGGAGCUUCAUGUGUAGACAUUUUUUGGACUUCCUUUUUUGCAAUAAAGAUUGUGUGCUAUGAUUUCAUUAUAGUUCUAUUAUACUUAACCUCUAUAAUGUUUCAUUUGAAUGUAGAAUACAAGGAUUUCAUCAAUUGCCUAUUAGAAGACCUAUUAAAAAGUAACGAUUAUUUUUGUAAAUCAAGGAUGAAAAGAAGACAACUGAUGUGCAAGGACGUGCAGGUACUACAACAUAUUGCAUACAAUAAGCUUUUUUGUUUUUGUCUCGGAAAUAUACAUACAUCAUUUGAGUGUCCACUAGAGCGCCAAAUUUUUGCCUGGACUUAUAGCAUCACUAGAUAAUGUUUCGUGUCUUCUAUAUAAAACUGAAAUCCACAUACUGCAGUUUUAAAAUUGAAAAUAUAAAAAUCACAUGAUGUUAUCUGAUGCCCACAUACAUUCCUUAGGAAUUAGCAUAGAUCAAUAUGUAUACAAAACUAAAGAUCACAUGGCAUAUACAAAACUUCACCAUACUGCAGUUCUUUUUGUCUGAAGCUGUACAUUUUGGUUCUACUUCAUCAGAUAACAUGCAGCCAUAAUUAUUUUUUAAAUUAUUUUCAAACUAUGAAAUGUGCAAAAUUGUUGGGGUACACCCAUGCAUUUUCUCAUAUCUACACGUGAGUAACACAUCACAUGUUUGCAGUCACAUUCAGUUUGAACGUAUGAGAAUUUGACCCAAAGCCUCAGGAUACCUAUGAAAAUUUUCUCGAUAUUGGUAAUAUUUCCUAUGAAUCCACUUUGGCGUAAAACAUUUGAAAAAUGUCUAUGUCUUAAUUAGGUGUCAGUACGAAAUGAUAUUUGCACUUUUGUCAGAUAUUAAGUGAGCAUAGUUUCAUUAUUCGCUUAUCAUUAAGAUCGUGUGGAAUAUUUUCAGGUACUCAACCACCUAGUGCGCAUGGAUGUGAUGACUUCGUAGUCUUAUGUAGCAUUUGGCCGUUUGUAGUAUUUCGGACUAGCCAACUUGUAAUCAUGAAUCUUAUGUGCGUUCUACCAUUUGGUGCUUCAAGUGUUCUGGAGUAGAAAUCUUGUGGUCAUGGAUGUGACUUUUAAGUUUUUUGGACCAUUUCGUGUUUCAACUCUUUUAGAAUAACAAAUAGUGGUCCUUUUAUGUGACUUGUGUUUCUGGACGGUGGUCAAGAUGGCCAAACUUUGCUUUGUCAAUGUUGUCUUGUUUUUGAACUUGUGAUCAAUAUAUAUGUAUGUUUGUGAACAUAUUAUCAAUGUUUGUGAACAUUUGAGCAUUGUGUAAUAUUUGAACAUGAGCAAUAUCCAAUUGUUGUUUUGGCUGUA